CUGCUCCAAGGGAAGGGGAGGCCUCUGCUCUCCAGCAGAGCAGUGCAUUGUCCCCCUGUGCCGGCUGGGGACAGUUUUUGGCCUCAGAGCUUUGGGCAGUUGGGUGCUGCUGAGGGGGAAAAAAAACCUGAAAACGAUUAAGGGAAGAAAAAUUCGGCAGAGAACAAUUCGGGAAAGUCUUUCCACCUCAGGGUGUUCCGCCCCGUGCCCUCGGAGCUGCAGCAGGUCCCUUGCCAAGAGGUGGCGGGGGAGGGAUGGGGGGGUGGCAGCAGUGACAGUGACAAGCUGGGCAGCUGCAGAGCCCCAGGAGCAGCGGGAUCGCCCUGACGGCGCCAUGAGGGUCUUCCAGAGGGGCUCCCAGCUCCUGGCGGCCGCCCUGCGGACCCCCCGCGCCCCCCGUGCCCAGCUCAGGUCCCACCCCCCCGAGCACCCGCUCUCUGCUGCCGAGCAAGGCAUUGCCUUGGCUGCGAUGUUCGCCUCGUUCCUGCUGCCCACAGCCUGGGUCCUGGCCCACAUAGACCACUACAAGGCCAGGCCGGAGUGAGGAGUGGCAGGAGCAGCCUGUUCCCUGCAGAGAGAAUCCUAAGGGAAGAGCCCCCGGGACGGACCCUCUCUGGGAUGGAACCCCCCAGGCCUGUUCAUUAAAAUUCACUUUUGCAUUCA